rnacentral:rRNA from 1 species
AUUGAACGCUGGCGGCAGGCUUAACACAUGCAAGUCGAGCGGGGAAGGGUAGCUUGCUACCUGACCUAGCGGCGGACGGGUGAGUAAUGCUUAGGAAUCUGCCUAUUAGUGGGGGACAACAUUCCGAAAGGAAUGCUAAUACCGCAUACGCCCUACGGGGGAAAGCAGGGGAUCUUCGGACCUUGCGCUAAUAGAUGAGCCUAAGUCAGAUUAGCUAGUUGGUGGGGUAAAGGCCUACCAAGGCGACGAUCUGUAGCGGGUCUGAGAGGAUGAUCCGCCACACUGGGACUGAGACACGGCCCAGACUCCUACGGGAGGCAGCAGUGGGGAAUAUUGGACAAUGGGCGAAAGCCUGAUCCAGCCAUGCCGCGUGUGUGAAGAAGGCCUUUUGGUUGUAAAGCACUUUAAGCGAGGAGGAGGCUACUUGGAUUAAUACUCUAGGAUAGUGGACGUUACUCGCAGAAUAAGCACCGGCUAACUCUGUGCCAGCCGCCGCGGUAA